rnacentral:rRNA from 1 species
CGGACGGGUGAGUAAUGUCUGGGAAACUGCCCGAUGGAGGGGGAUAACUACUGGAAACGGUAGCUAAUACCGCAUAACGUCGCAAGACCAAAGAGGGGGACCUUCGGGCCUCGCGCCAUCAGAUGAACCCAUAUGGGAUUAGCUAGUAGGUAAGGUAACGGCUUACCUAGGCGACGAUCCCUAGCUGGUCUGAGAGGAUGAUCAGCCACACUGGGACUGAGACACGGCCCAG